rnacentral:rRNA from 1 species
UACGUAGGGGGCAAGCGUUGUCCGGAAUUAUUGGGCGUAAAGAGCGCGUAGGCGGUCCGAUAAGUCGGCUGUGAAAGUCAGGGGCUCAACCCUUGAAAGCCGGCCGAUACUGUCGGACUAGAGUCCGGAAGAGGCAAGUGGAAUUCCCGGUGUAGCGGCGAAAUGCGCAGAUAUCGGGAGGAACACCAAUGGCGAAGGCAGCUUGCUGGGACGGUACUGACGCUGAGGCGCGAAAGCGUGGGGAGCAAACAGG